GACGAACGCUGGCGGCGUGCUUAACACAUGCAAGUCGAACGGAAAGGCCCUGCUUUUGUGGGGUGCUCGAGUGGCGAACGGGUGAGUAACACGUGAGUAACCUGCCCUUGACUUUGGGAUAACUUCAGGAAACUGGGGCUAAUACCGGAUAGGAGCUCCUGCUGCAUGGUGGGGGUUGGAAAGUUUCGGCGGUUGGGGAUGGACUCGCGGCUUAUCAGCUUGUUGGUGGGGUAGUGGCUUACCAAGGCUUUGACGGGUAGCCGGCCUGAGAGGGUGACCGGCCACAUUGGGACUGAGAUACGGCCCAGACUCCUACGGGAGGUGGCAGUGGGGAAUAUUGCACAAUGGGCGGAAGCCUGAUGCAGCAACGCCGCGUGCGGGAUGACGGCCUUCGGGUUGUAAACCGCUUUCGCCUGUGACGAAGCGUGAGUGACGGUAAUGGGUAAAGAAGCACCGGCUAACUACGUG
rnacentral:rRNA from 1 species